rnacentral:lncRNA from 1 species
AGUGGACAAAAACAGCAAACCAGCAGCAGUACUUAUAUUCAGGGCUACAGACCUCAAGGUGGCAGUUCCUAUGGCCAGGGUUACCAAGGCGGCCAGUCCUAUGGCCAGGUGAGACUUUGUUGCUGAAAUGUGUUGAGCUUUUCUGUAGGAGCCUGUCCUGUAAAUGGGCUUGGGGGGCAUGGGUGGUUUUUUUCCUUCCUGGUGUUUCUGCAUGGUCCUUGAUUUGGUUUGUGCCACUGAAAUACCAUGAGGGCAAAAGUAACAUAGUCAAGAGGAACCUUUAAUGGAAAUGGGCUUUUCUCUCUGGUGCUUCUGCUGUGCUGGGACUACACUUACACAGCUCAUUUUACAACUGACUCCCUGCCUUUCUUACAGGGUUCUCAGCCUCAAGGUGGCAGCUCCUAUGGACAGCAGGGUGGAUCUGCAGCUUAUUUUGGCAGCAGUGGUUGUGGACAAGGUGUCUCCUAUGACAGCAAUCCCUGCCACCAGGGUGGAUCACAGGGUGGUCAGGUAG